rnacentral:rRNA from 1 species
CCUGGUGAUGAUGGUGGAGAGGUUAUACCCGUUCCCGUUCCGAACACGGAAGUCAAGCUCUCUAACGCCGAUGGUACUGCCCCCCGGGGCGGGAGAGUAGGAAACCGCCAGGC